AUUCUUAGGGGAGGCAGCAGUGGGGAAUCUUGGACAAUGGGGGAAACCAUGAUCCCGCAAGGCCGCGUGAGCGAUGAAGGCCUAGGGUUGUAAAGCUCUUCGACGGGGACGAUGAUGACGGUACCGGCAGAAGAAGCACAGCUAG
rnacentral:rRNA from 1 species